UUUCGCCUGUUUAUUCAAAAACAUGUCUGUGUGUUUGUAUAUAUGCAGUCUAGCCUGCCCACUGAUUUGUAUUUAAAGGGCCGCGGUAAUUUGACCGUGCGAAGGUAGCAUAAUCAAUAGUCUUUUAAUUGGAGGCUUGAAUGAAUGGUUGGACGAGGGGUGAGCUGUCUCUUUUGGCGUAUGUUGAAUUUGACUUUUAAGUGAAAAGGCUUAGAUUAAUUAGAGGGACGAUAAGACCCUAUAAAACUUAAUACAAAUUUGGCUUGGUUUGUGAUUUGUGUGAAAAGUAGUCUUGUUUAGUUUGUAUUUCGUUGGGGCGACGAAGAUAUAAAAUGUAACUGUCUUUAAAAUUUAAUAGUGUUAAUUAGUAUUUGAUCCUUCUUUGUGGAUUAAAAGAAUAAGUUACUUUAGGGAUAACAGCGUAAUUUUUUUUGAGAGUUCUUAUCGACAAAAGUAGUUGCGACCUCGAUGUUGAAUUAAAGUUUCAGUUAGGUGUAGCCGUUUAACUGGUAAGUCUGUUCGACUUUUAAAACUUUACAUGAUUUGAGUUUAAACCGGUGUGAGCCAGGUUGGGKUUUCUAUCUAA
rnacentral:rRNA from 1 species